AGCCCCAGUAAACGGCGGCCGUAACUAUAACGGUCCUAAGGUAGCGAAAUUCCUUGUCGGGUAAGUUCCGACCUGCACGAAUGGCGUAACGACUUCCCCACUGUCUCGACCAGGAGCUCGGCGAAAUUGCAGUACGAGUAAAGAUGCUCGUUAAGCGCAGAAGGACGAAAAGACCCCGGGACCUUUACUAUACCUUGGUAUUGGCAUUCGGUGUGGAUUGUGUAGCAUAGGCGGAAGGCUUCGAAGCCACGGCGCCAGCCGCGGUGGAGCCGCAAGGUGAAAUACCGCUCUGUUCGCAUUGGAUGUCUAACCUCGACCAGUCAUCCUGGUCAGGGACAGUGCCUGGCGGGUAGUUUAACUGGGGCGGUUGCCUCCCAAAGAGUAACGGAGGCGCUCAAAGGUUCCCUCAGCCCGGUUGGCAAUCGGGUGGCGAGUGUAAGUGCACAAGGGAGCUUGACUGCGAGACUGACGGGUCGAGCAGGGACGAAAGUCGGAACUAGUGAUCCGGUGCCGGUGUACGGACGCGGCAUCGCUCAACGGAUAAAAGGUACCCCGGGGAUAACAGGCUGAUCAUUCCCAAGAGUCCAUAUCGACGGGAUGGUUUGGCACCUCGAUGUCGGCUCGUCGCAUCCUGGGGCUGGAGCAGGUCCCAAGGGUUCGGCUGUUCGCCGAUUAAAGCGGCACGCGAGCUGGGUUCAGAACGUCGUGAGACAGUUUGGUCUCUAUCCUCUGCGCUCGUCGGAAUGUUGAGGAGGCCUGCCCAUAGUACGAGAGGACCUGGGUGGACGAACCUCUGGUAUGCCGGUUGUCACGCCAGUGGCACGGCCGGUUGGCUACGUUCGGAAGGGAUAACCGCUGAAAGCAUCUAAGCGGGAAGCCUGCUCCAAGAUAAGCAUUCCAUAGGACUACGGGUCCUUGAAGUCCCCAUGCAGAACACGUGGUUGAUAGGCCGGACGUGGAAGCCCCGCGAGGGGUGGAGCCGACCGGUACUAACGGACGAAAGGCAACACAAC
rnacentral:rRNA from 1 species